UACGGUGGGGGCAAGCGUUGUUCGGAUUCAUUGGGCGUAAAGGGUGUGUAGGUGGCGCCGUAAGUCGGGUGUGAAAUUUCGGAGCUUAACUCCGAAACUGCAUUCGAUACUGCGGUGCUUGAGGACUGGAGAGGAGACUGGAAUUCAUGGUGUAGCAGUGAAAUGCGUAGAGAUCAUGAGGAAGACCAGUGGCGAAGGCGGGUCUCUGGACAGUUCCUGACACUGAGACACGAAGGCCAGGGGAGCAAACGGG
rnacentral:rRNA from 1 species